CUUAGGACCGUUAUAGUUACGGCCGCCGUUUACUGGGGCUUCGGUUCACAGCUUCGGAUUGCUCCUAACCGCUCCCCUUAACCUUCCAGCACCGGGCAGGCGUCAGCCCGUAUACUUCGCCUUACGGCUUCGCACAGACCUGUGUUUUUGCUAAACAGUCGCUUGGGCCUUUUCACUGCGGCCCCCUCGUGCUAUUCACACUACCGGGGCACCCCUUCUCCCGAAGUUACGGGGUCAUUUUGCCGAGUUCCUUAACGAGAGUUCUUCCGCGCGCCUUAGAAUUCUCUUCUCGCCUACCUGUGUCGGUU
rnacentral:rRNA from 1 species